UACGAAGGGGGCUAGCGUUGUUCGGAAUUACUGGGCGUAAAGCGCACGUAGGCGGAUCGAUCAGUCAGGGGUGAAAUCCCAGGGCUCAACCCUGGAACUGCCUUUGAUACUGUCGAUCUGGAGUAUGGAAGAGGUGAGUGGAAUUCCGAGUGUAGAGGUGAAAUUCGUAGAUAUUCGGAGGAACACCGGUGGCGAAGGCGGCAUCCUGGACCAACACUGACGCUGAGGAGCGAAAGCCAGGGAGCAAACGGG
rnacentral:rRNA from 1 species